GACUCUGGGAUAACCUCGGGAAACCGAUGCUAAUACCGGAUACGACCACUUCGGACAUCCGACGGUGGUGGAAAGUUUUUCGGUCUGGGAUGGGCCCGCGGCCUAUCAGCUAGUUGGUGGGGUAAUGGCCUACCAAGGCGACGACGGGUAGCCGGCCUGAGAGGGCGACCGGCCACACUGGAACUGAGACACGGUCCAGACUCCUACGGGAGGCAGCAGUGGGGAAUAUUGCACAAUGGGCGAAAGCCUGAUGCAGCGACGCCGCGUGAGGGACGACGGCCUUCGGGUUGUAAACCUCUUUCAGCAGGGACGAAGCGAAAGUGACUGUACCUGCAGAAGAAGCACCGGCUAACUACGUG
rnacentral:rRNA from 1 species